rnacentral:rRNA from 1 species
UACGUAGGGUGCAAGCGUUGUCCGGAAUUAUUGGGCGUAAAGAGCUUGUAGGCGGUUUGUCGCGUCUGCUGUGAAAUUUCGGGGCUCAACCCCGAACUUGCAGUGGGUACGGGCAGACUAGAGUGUGGUAGGGGAGACUGGAAUUCCUGGUGUAGCGGUGAAAUGCGCAGAUAUCUGGAGGAACACCGGUGGCGAAGGCGGCAUCCUGGACCAACACUGACACUGAGGAGCGAAAGCCAGGGGAGCAAACGGG